rnacentral:rRNA from 1 species
AGAGUUUGAUCAUGGCUCAGAACGAACGCUGGCGGCGUGGAUAAGACAUGCAAGUCGAACGCUGGUUUGCGGGUAGCAAUAUUUGCAAACUGGAGUGGCGCAAGGGUGUGUAACACGUGGGUAAUCUGCCAUGAAGUCUGGGAUAACUUGCUGAAAGGCGAGCUAAUACCGGAUGUGAACGCAAGUUCAAAGUUGGGGACCGAAAGGCCUGACGCUUCAUGAUGAGCCCGCGGCCUAUCAGCUAGUUGGUGAGGUAAUGGCUCACCAAGGCUAAGACGGGUAGCUGGUCUGAGAGGACGACCAGCCACACUGGAACUGAGACACGGUCCAGACACCUACGGGUGGCAGCAGUCGAGAAUUUUUCUCAAUGGGCGAAAGCCUGAAGGAGCGACGCCGCGUGGGGGAUGAAUGGCUUCGGCCCGUAAACCCCUGUCAUUUGCGAACAAAUUGUUUCACCCAACACGUGAAGCAUUGAUUGUAGCGGAAGAGGAAGGGACGGCUAACUCUGUGCCAGCAGCCGCGGUAAUACAGAGGUCCCAAGCGUUGUUCGGAUUCACUGGGCGUAAAGGGUGCGUAGGCGGCCAAGUAAGUUUGAUGUGAAAUCCCGCAGCUCAACUGCGGAACUGCAUUGAAUACUAUUUGGCUCGAGGAAUGGAGGGGAGACUGGAAUUCUCGGUGUAGCAGUGAAAUGCGUAGAUAUCGAGAGGAACACCAGUGGCGAAGGCGAGUCUCUGGACAUUUCCUGACGCUCAGGCACGAAAGCCAGGGGAGCAAACGGGAUUAGAUACCCUAGUAGUCC